rfam:Ictidomys tridecemlineatus contig003595, whole genome shotgun sequence.
AGGGUUGUGGCUCAGUGGUAGAGCACUCGCCUAGCAUGCUUGAGGCUCUGAGUUUGAUCCUCAGCACCACCU